UUUCCCGCCAGUGAGGGAUAGUGGAACAUCUCUGGAGUUUGUCUUCUGUGAAUAUGUAGCCAGGUGGACAGAAAAACUUGGACAUGUGAGGCUUUUUCCAAUCCAGGCAUGGAAAGUGUACACGAGAUGAGACAAACAGGUUACUAAAUACCAUUUUGACAAACCAAAAAGCAUUUGGAGUUUGUGUUGAACUAGUUUGUAAUGGCGCGAUAGUGAAUAUAACCACCGUAAACACUCAGAGAAUGCUUCCUAACACUGGAACGACACCUCCCUUCCAUUCCUGCCCAGAGCAGACAAGCCCUAUAUGGGCCGGACGG